rnacentral:lncRNA from 1 species
CCCCCAUAACCCCAUAACCCCAUAGACCCCAUAACCCCAUAGCCCCUAUAACCCCAUACCCCCAUAACCCCAUAGACAACCCCAUACCCUCUCGGAGGUGCUCAUGCUGUCGGCCCCACACUCGUCCUCAUUGAAGAACUGGGACGCGACGCUCAUCCUAUUACUGGGGCCCUCAGCCCCCCCCGACCCCGACAUGGCCCCCCCACGGCGACCCUAUAAAGGUAAUGGGACAGGAUGGGGGGCAGUGAGACCCUAUAGGGCUUAUAUAGGACCCUAUAGGGCUUAUAUGGGAUCCCAUAGGGCUCAUAUAGGACCCCAUAGGGCCUGCAUAGGAAUAGGACCCCACAGAGCCCACCAUGGCCCCCCCACGGCGAUCCUAUAAGGGUUAUGGGACAUGAUGGGGGGCAGUGAGACCCCAUAGGGUCUAAAUAGGAUCCUAUAGGGCUUAUAUGGGAUCCCAUAGGGCUCAUAUAGGACCCCAUAGGGCCUGCAUAGGAAUAGGACCCCAUAGAGCCCACCAUGGCCCACCCACAGCGAUCCUAUAAGGGGGAAUGGGACAGGAUGGGGGGCAUUGGGACCCCAUAGGGCCUAAAUAGGACCCUAUAGGGCUUAUAUAGGACCCCAUAGGGCCUGCAUAGGAAGAGGAUCCCAUACAGCCCACCAUGGCCCCCCCACGGUGACCCUAUAAAGGGGAAUGGGACAGGAUGGGGGGCAUUGGGACCCCAUAGGGCCUAAAUAGGACCCUAUAGGGCUUAUAUAGGACCCCAUAGGGGUUCCAUAGCAAUAGGACCCCAUAGAGCCCACCAUGGCCCCCCCAUGGCGACCCUAUAAGGGUUAUGGGACAUGAUGGGGGGCAGUGAGACCCCACAGGGCCUAAAUAGGACCCUAUAGGGCUUAUAUAGGACCCCAUAGGGCCUGCAUGGGAAUAGGACCCCAUAGAGCCCACCAUGCCCCCCCCACUGCGCCCCCCGGAACCCUAUAGAGCCCCAUAGAACCCUACAGAGCCCCAUAGAACCCUAUAGAACCCCAUGGGACCCUAUAGAGCCCCAUAGAAUCCUAUAGAGCCCCAUGGAACCCUAUAGAGCCCCAUAGAACCCUACAGAGCCCCACAGAACCCUAUAGAGCCUCAUAGAACCCUACAGAGCCCCAUGGAACCCUAUAGAGCCCCACAGAACCCUACAGAGCCCCAUAGAACCCUACAGAGCCCCAUAGAACCCUACAGAACCCUGUAGAACCCUAUAGAGCCUCAUGGGACCCUAUAGAGCCCCAUGGAACCCUAUAGAGCCCCACAGAACCCUACAGAGCCCCAUAGAACCCUAUAGAGCCCCAUAGAACCCUAUAGAGCCCCACAGAACCCUAUAGAGCCCCAUAGAACCCUAUAG